GACUCCUGAUUCAAUGUAGUCGCCGUGGCUCCUCAGCUUCCCGAUCUGCUGUAGUGUCUCCUGACUGCGACCAUCUAAACAAGGACUGGCCGGGUGUUUGCAAGAGAGGUCAGCCUGGAAAAGUCCUGUGAUUGUCCCCAAAGAUGCAUUUUCCUGUGGCAUUGCUGUAUCUGACCCUGGUGAUCUUGAUCAGGUAACCUGCAGAGAGAUUCUUUUUCCCAGAGGUGGAUUGAACAGGUGAGAAGCCGUCCCCCCUCGAAUGAGGGCUCCCACAGUGCAUCUGGCACCCACCUCACAGGUGAACCUUCCC